rnacentral:rRNA from 1 species
CGUAGGUGGCGGGCGUUGUCCGGAUUUAUUGGGUUUAAAGGGUGCGUAGGCGGUCCUAUAAGUCAGUGCUGAAAUAUCCCGGCUUAACCGGGAGGGUGGCAUUGAUACUGCAGGACUUGAGUAAAGUUGAGGUUGGCGGAAUUGACGGUGUAGCGGUGAAAUGCUUAGAUAUCGUCAAGAACACCGAUAGUGUAGACAGCUAACUAAGCUUUAACUGACGCUGAGGCACGAAAGUGUGGGGAUCAAACAGGAUUAGAUACCCUGGUAGUCCACACUGUAAACGUUGAUUACUCGAUGUUGGCGAUACACUGUCAGCGUCUUAGCGAAAGCGAUAAGUAAUCCACCUGGGGAGUACGCCGGCAACGGUG